rnacentral:rRNA from 1 species
UCGGGAAUUUUGGGCAAUGGGGGAAACCCUGACCCAGCAACGCCGCGUGAAGGAUGAAGUAUUUCGGUAUGUAAACUUCGAAAGAAUAGGAAGAAUAAAUGACGGUACUAUUUAUAAGGUCCGGCUAACUACGUGCCAGCAGCCGCGGUAAUACGUAGGGACCAAGCGUUGUUCGGAUUUACUGGGCGUAAAGGGCGCGUAGGCGGCAAUUCAAGUCAUCUGUGAAAUCUCCGGGCUUAACUCGGAACGGUCAGAUGAUACUGCUUUGCUAGAGUGCAGAAGGGGCAAUCGGAAUUCUUGGUGUAGCGGUGAAAUGCGUAGAUAUCAAGAGGAACACCUGAGGUGAAGACGGGUUGCUGGGCUGACACUGACGCUGAGGCGCGAAAGCCAGGGGAGCAAACGGGAUUAGAUACCCCCGUAGUCCCUGAGCGGGCUGGCAAGGCGCAU